UACGUAGGGGGCAAGCGUUGUCCGGAUUUACUGGGCGUAAAGAGCGUGUAGGCGGCCUUACAGGUCGGCUGCGAAAACUCGAGGCUCAACCUCGAGACGUCGGUUGAAACCGUAAGGCUAGAGUCCGGAAGAGGAGAGUGGAAUUCCCGGUGUAGUGGUGAAAUGCGUAGAUAUCGGGAGGAAGCACCAGUGGCGAAGGCGACUUCCUGGCCUGUUCUUGACG
rnacentral:rRNA from 1 species